AACUAACGCUGGCGGCGUGCCUAACACAUGCAAGUCGUACGAGAAAGCCGGCUUCGGCUGGUGAGUAAAGUGGCGCACGGGUGAGUAACGCGUGGAUAAUCUGCCCUUAAGUGUGGAAUAACGUACCGAAAGGUGCGCUAAUACCGCAUAAUGCCUGGCAACACAAGUUGUCCGGCCAAAGAAGGCCUCUGUUUACAAGCUUUCGCUUCAGGAUGAGUCCGCGUACCAUUAGCUUGUUGGUGGGGUAAUGGCCUACCAAGGCUGCGAUGGUUAGCUGGUCUGAGAGGAUGAUCAGCCACACUGGAACUGAGACACGGUCCAGACUCCUACGGGAGGCAGCAGUGAGGAAUAUUGCGCAAUGGGGGCAACCCUGACGCAGCCAUGCCGCGUGAAUGAUGAAGGCCUUAGGAUUGUUAAAAGUUCUUUUGCCCGUGACGAUGAUGGACGGUAACGGGGAAGAAUAAAGCUCCGGCUAACUUCGUCGCCAG
rnacentral:rRNA from 1 species